GGUCAAGUUAGAAAGAGCACUAGGUGAAUGCCUAGGCACCAAGAGGCGACGAAGGACGUGACAAGCUGCGAAAAGCUACGGAGAGGAGCAAAUAUCCAUUGACCCGUAGAUAUCCGAAUGGGGAAACCCACCGUAAGGUAUCCUAUAGCCAAUUCAUAACUAUAGGAAGCGAACCAGGUGAACUGAAACAUCUAAGUAACCUGAGGAAAAGAAAGAAAACUCGAUUCCCUGAGUAGCGGCGAGCGAACGGGGAAGAGCCCAAAGUGUAAAAAGAGACAAUAGCCAGCCAAAUAAUCUGGGAAGAUUAACCAAAGAAGGUAAGAGUCCUGUAGGCGAAAGCGAAGAUAUCCGACACAAAAGAGUACCACGGAACACGAGAAAUUCAGUGGGAAGAUGGGGGGACCACCCCCUAAGGCUAAAUACUACUUGGUGACCGAUAGCGAACAAGUACCGUGAGGGAAAGGUGAAAAGAACCCCGAGAGGGGAGUGAAAUAGAAUCUGAAACCUAGUGUUUACAAGCAGCGAAAGUGGCAUACGCCACGAUCGUGUACUUUUUGUAGAACGGGCCAGCGAGUUACGAUUACUAGCAAGGUUAAGCAUUACAGAUGUGGAGCCGAAGCGAAAGCGAGUCUAAAUAGGGCGAAAGUUAGUGGUUGUAGACCCGAAACCGUGUGAUCUAUCCAUGAGCAGAGUGAAGUUGAAGUAAAAUUCAAUGGAGGCUCGAACCGGGUAACGUUUAAAAGUUAUCGGAUGACUUGUGGAUAGGGGUGAAAAGCCAAACGAACACGGAGAUAGCUGGUUCUCCUCGAAAUAGCUUUAGGGCUAGCCUCUAGUAAGACAUGAAAAGGGGGUAGAGCACUGAUUGGUUGCGGGGCAUGCAUAUGUUACCAAAACCUAUCAAACUCCGAAUACCAUAUCAUGCACUAGGGAGUCAGACUAUGUGGGAUGAGCUUCAUAGUCGAAAGGGAAAGAGCCCAGACCAUCAGCUAAGGUCCCAAAAUUAUAGUUAAGUGGGAAAGGAUGUGGAGUUACUGAGACAACUAGGAUGUUGGCUUAGAAGCAGCCACUCAUUUAAAGAGUGCGUAAUAGCUCACUAGUCAAGUGACUCUGCGCCGAAGAUAACCGGGGCUAAACUAUAUACCGAAGCUAUGGAACGAAUAACGUUGGUAGAGGAGCAAUGUAUGAAGGACGAAGCAUAAGCCGUAAGGCAGUGUGGACAUCAUACAAGAGAGAAUGCUGGCAUGAGUAGCGAGAGGUGAGUGAGAAUCUCACCCGUCGAAAACCCAAGGAUUCCUGAGCAAGGCUCGUCCACUCAGGGUAAGUCGGGACCUAAGGCGAGGCUGAAAAGCGUAGUCGAUGGACAACAGGUUGAAAUUCCUGUACCGAUACAAUCGUUAAAGGAAGUGGGGACGCAGGAGGAUAAUAAGAGCGCCCAGUUGGUGAGGCGUGCAAGCGCAAAGUCUGGAGAGUAGGCAAAUCCGCUCUCCGAAAAGGAUGAAGCGUAAUGCGGAUCGAAAACAAGUAGAGAAGCUUAUGACUCCACACUGCCAAGAAAAGCCACUACAAGAGAAGUAUCGCCCGUACCGUAAACCGACACAGGUAGGUGAGGAGAGAAUCCUAAGACGAGCGGAAAAACCUUUGUUAAGGAACUCGGCAAAAUGACCCCGUAACUUCGGGAGAAGGGGAGCCCCUGUAACAGGGGGCCGCAGUGAAAAGGCCCAAGCGACUGUUUACCAAAAACACAAGUUUCUGCUAAGUCGAAAGACGAAGUAUAGGAGCUGACACCUUAAGGUAGCGAAAUUCCUUGUCGGGUAAGUUCCGACCCGCACGAAAGGUGUAACGAUUUGGGCACUGUCUCAACAAAGGAUCCGGUGAAAUUGUAGUAGCGGUAAAGAUGCCGCUUACCCACGACAGGACGGAAAGACCCCGUGGAGCUUUACUGUAGGCUGAGAUUGAAUUUUGGGAUUAAAUGUACAGAAUAGGUGGGAGGCAGAGAAUUAGGUACGCCAGUAUCUAAGGAGCCACCGUUGGGAUACCACUCUUUUAAUGCUAGAAUUCUAACCUAACCCCAUGAAUCUGGGGAAGGGACACUCUCAGUUGGACAGUUUGACUGGGGCGGUCGCCUCCGAAAGAGUAACGGAGGCGUUCAAAGGUUCCCUCAGCACGGAUGGAAAUCGUGCGCAGAGUAUAAAGGCAGAAGGGAGCUUAACUGCGAGACCAACUAAAAGCUACCCCGGGGAUAACAGGCUUAUCUCCCCCAAGAGUCCACAUCGACGGGGAGGUUUGGCACCUCGAUGUCGGCUCGUCUCAUCCUGGGGCUGAAGUAGGUCCCAAGGGUUGGGCUGUUCGCCCAUUAAAGAGGCACGCGAGCUGGGUUCAGAACGUCGCGAGACAGUUCGGUCCCUAUCCGUCGUGGGCGUAGGAAAUUUGAGAGGAGCUGUCCUUAGUACGAGAGGACCGGGAUGGACAAACCUCUGGUGCACCAGUUGUACUGCCAAGUGCAUAGCUGGGAAGCUAAGUUUGGAAGGGAUAAGAGCUGAAGGCAUCUAAGCCCGAAGCCCCCCUCGAGAUGAGAUUUCCCUCGAAAGAUAAGACCCCUAGAAGAAAAUUAGGUAGAUAGGCUCAAGGUGUAAGUGUAGCAAUACAUUCAGCUAGCGAGUACUAAUAGGUCGAAGACUUGACCAA
rnacentral:rRNA from 1 species